UGGGGAAUUUUGGACAAUGGGGGCAACCCUGAUCCAGCCAUGCCGCGUGAGUGAAGAAGGCCUUCGGGUUGUAAAGCUCUUUCGGACGGAAAGAAAUCGCCGCCUCUAACAUAGGUGGUGGAUGACGGUACCGUAAGAAGAAGCACCGGCUAACUACGUGCCAGCAGCCGCGGUAAUACGUAGGGUGCGAGCGUUAAUCGGAAUUACUGGGCGUAAAGCGUGCGCAGGCGGCGCUGUAAGACAGGUGUGAAAUCCCCGGGCUUAACCUGGGAAUGGCGCUUGUGACUGCAGUGCUCGAGUGCGGCAGAGGGGGGUGGAAUUCCACGUGUAGCAGUGAAAUGCGUAGAGAUGUGGAGGAACACCGAUGGCGAAGGCAGCCCCCUGGGUCGACACUGACGCUCAUGCACGAAAGCGUGGGGAGCAAACA
rnacentral:rRNA from 1 species